UUUGUACAUAUAGGUUGUAGGGAACUGAAAGGACCGGACCCUUCGGGGAGCCUAUACAGGUGUUGCAUGGCUGUCGUCAGCUCGUGUCGUGAGAUGUUCGGUUAAGUCCGCUAACGAGCGCAACCCUCGUCGUAUGUUAUAUGUGUCAUACGAGACUGCCGGUAAAAAGCCGGAGGAAGGUGAGGAUGAUGUCAAGUCAGCAUGACCUUUAUAUCCAGGGCUACACACACGCUACAAUGGUCUGUACAAUGGGUAGCCAAGCCGCGAGGCGGAGCCAAUCCUGAAAGCAGGCCUCAGUUCAGAUUGCAGGCUGCAACCCGCCUGCAUGAAGAUGGAGUUGCUAGUAACCGCAGGUCAGCUAUACUGCGGUGAAUACGUUCCCGGGGCUU
rnacentral:rRNA from 1 species